UACGGAGGGGGCUAGCGUUGUUCGGAAUUACUGGGCGUAAAGCGCACGUAGGCGGACUGUUAAGUCGGGGGUGAAAUCCUGGGGCUCAACCUCAGAAUUGCCUCCGAUACUGGCAGUCUCGAGUGCGGGAGAGGUGAGUGGAAUUCCCAGUGUAGAGGUGAAAUUCGUAGAUAUUGGGGAAAGAACACCAGUGGCGAAGGCGGCUCACUGGCCCUAACUGACGCUGAGGUGCGAAAAGCGUGGGGGAGCAAACAGGGAU
rnacentral:rRNA from 1 species